ensembl:lncRNA
GGUGAUUUUAAGCCCGUCUUCUGUCUAAAGGCGGCUUGGACCAAUUUCUCUUCCAACCACUCUUUACCUUUUGUUUUGUUAGCUUGGCAUUUCCCACCCCACCCCCUCCCUGGUGUGGUCUGAACCUUGCAUCUUGCUCUGGGGGUUGUGCAUUUUAAUGUAAUUCUGAUUGGUGAAUGUUCUCUCCUUUUUGUUGUGAUUACUAGAGACACUUUAGUCCUGCCUUCCCAGUUCUGCGCCCUGCACAAGCAGUUUUGAAAAAUUAAGUGCAAAAAGCAUGACAAAGCAAUAUGAGGUUGCCGUGCCCAGAUAAAACAGAAUGGAGCAGGAUCUGGACUGCUCUCUACAUUGGGUUGGCCUUAUCAAGCGUGAAGUUUGGCGCAUUGCAAACGUAUUCAAGUGAUUAUCUGUUGAGGACCUCUCGAGCCAUCUCCAUCUCUGCAGCGGGCUGAUAAGACAGCUGUUUCUCUAGCCGCUGUCUCCCUGGGCCUCAGUCUUCUUCUGAUACAAACUCUGCCUUUGUCACCGGGCUCCGACGUGCAUCGCACACAAGUGGAAACAUAAAUCUUGAAUAUAAGAAAGAGUCUCCGAGCCUCGGAAGCAGAAAAACCGCUUCUUCCCAGGACCCGGCAAAGGGACCGACGAAAAGACUGAUUGCCACCAGCUGAGACAGAUGGUUUCCUUUAACUUUGCAAACUGCUAUUUUUAAUUACUUGUAUUAAUUUUGCAUGAGAUGUAUCGGCUCUAGGAGGAAGCUUAGAUAAGGCUGUUAGCACCUCUGGAAGAAAUGGACACGAAGCUCUGAUUUGCCCUUUCUCACCUCCCGUUUUUCUUACUUCACCCUCCCUGGUCGCCUAGAUCACCCUUUGCAUGCUCAGGAAAGACGUGAGUUUAUCUUGCUAAAAGUUGGUCCCGAGUAAAAUAGAGGAGGGAAAGAAAUCUGAGGGCAUUUGUAGGAGCGUUUACAUAAAUGAUCGUUGACCCGAAGCUGCAAAUAAAUUUUCUGAAACACUCUGGGGCACAUGCAACAGAUUUUAGCCUGAAUAUCCGCUGGCAAAUGAUCUAAAGGAGAAUGAACCCCAUACAAAUUUUGCCGAGAAAAAAAAAAGCGAUGGUGGUGGGAAGGAAGGAAAAUAUAGGCUGAUCUUGAAAUUUUACCGAGACACUACAUUACGUUUAUUUAAAAAAUUAUACAAUUCAUGUGUCUUUAAGUGUAAACAGUAGCCUCAGAAUUUAGGGUCAAUUCUUGCUGAGGUGUUCCGUUUACUGCUUUUUCCAUUAAAUAGGACUUUAAAGACAAAAUUAAAGAGAAAGUAAAGAUGUCUGUGAUCCUGCUCACUGCCAUCUCUGGCACAGUCCCUAAUAGAAAGUGUUUGCAAUGUAAAGGGUUCCUUGCAAAAUAGUCUCCGAGGUCACUCACCUUCUGAUAGAAGGCUUUGCCCCUUUGCCAGGCAAUGGAGGGAGCUGGGGGAAGAAUUGGGGGAGGGGAGAGUAGACGUUUUUGUUGCGAUUCCUCUGGGAAUUUCGAGGAUUACAAACUCUGGAGUAGGUUUAGUAGACUUUUUGAUGACUACCUGGAUUUGCAUUAUUUUGUAUGAACACACUGAUGACUGGCAGGCUCACUAGGGGAAGAAGUGUCUGAAAGGAUUAGAGUUGAGUGUGCACAGCCAGUUCGGGGCAUUUAACCUUCCUGGCGGUGUGUCACUAUGGCCGAAUCUUAGCAAAAGCAAGCCUAAUCAAAAUAAACAUGUUUCUAUGGAUAGGAGAGACUCUUCCUUGAAGUCUGUAGACAUGAAAUUUCCCCCAAAAUUGCAGUUUCGGUGUCUCACUGGGAGGGACAGAAAACUCUAUUAAGCUUUGCAAACGUGUAGUCAGGCUGGCUCGGCUUGUCUCUGUCCAUGGUGCUAAUUCCCGCCUCAUUCUUUUGCUCCGCUGCCAUGUUCUAAUUCAAGUAGCAUCAGUUUUCUCUACAACUUCCCCAGCCCCCCCCAAAUCCCCCGCCCUGUUUUUUAAACCGUGGAAGUAAAGUUGACAUACUUCUUUAGGAAGGAUAAAUAAAAUAGUAAUUAUCAAGCUAUAUAUUUCUCACGCAGGCAGUAAACUGUCACAGUUUCAACAUUAUGAACCACAGACAUUCCCCUCCCUCAUCCCAAACAGCCCAACAAAUUAACACAGACAAAUAUUUUUACUUAUCUGACAGGAUAUGAUGUUUUAAAUCACCUUAAGCCAAACAUUGUAAACUCAUUUAAAUAGCUUAACUGCUUUAUUUACUUAAAAAAAUGUUACAAUUGUAAUGUACAGUCACCUUUAUCAUAAAAUCCUGAAAGUUUUAGAGGAUACUAAAAGAGGAUAGUAUUUCUCCCCAGAUCUAAUAUAAGGGGGUUAUUUAUCAUAAAAAAAUUGCCACAAUAGCUUAUGAAUAUUCCUGUGAAUGACUGUUCCUCUAUAAAGAUAUUUUUGUAAAAGAAUUAAUUGAAUUCAUUAUUUUUUCCUGCUUUGAGAACCAUUCAUUUUGCAGCUUUCUCUAUGU